AACGAACGCUGGCGGCAGGCUUAACACAUGCAAGUCGAGCGCCCCGCUAGGGGAGCGGCAGACGGGUGAGUAACGCGUGGGAAUCUACCCAUCUCUACGGAAUAACGCAUGGAAACGUGUGCUAAUACUGUAUACGUCCUUCGGGAGAAAGAUUUAUCGGAGAUGGAUGAGCCCGCGUUGGAUUAGCUAGUUGGUGGGGUAAAGGCCUACCAAGGCGACGAUCCAUAGCUGGUCUGAGAGGAUGAUCAGCCACACUGGGACUGAGACACGGCCCAGACUCCUACGGGAGGCAGCAGUGGGGAAUAUUGGACAAUGGGCGCAAGCCUGAUCCAGCCAUGCCGCGUGAGUGAUGAAGGCCCUAGGGUUGUAAAGCUCUUUCACCGGUGAAGAUAAUGACGGUAACCGGAGAAGAAGCCCCGGCUAACUUCGUGCCAGCCGCCGCAGUAAUAC
rnacentral:rRNA from 1 species